GUCAUUGGAGGGGAGAUAGGCAUUUUGGAGAUCCAGUUGAGGGGAAAUUAAAUUAUGGAUAUAUUUAUUUUUGGUGGAGUGAGACAUAUUGAUGUGUUUUUCAGUGACUUCAAGGUAUCUAGUUAAGGUAUUACUGGGAAUCCCAAAGUACAACGACUUCCAGGAAUACUCCUAGAGCUUAUCGGCUGACUCAUCUAGUAUUGUGAUUCUGAAGUCCAGGACCAGAGGUUAUAGUGUGAUAUGGCUUUGCUCUGUAGUACCUGGAAUUAGAAUUAAAAUAUAUGGAUAGUGGAGGAGAAAUAAAGUUGAAAGGCACAUAACCAGAAGCUUGUCCAUGGAGAAUGCUUUUGAUCAGGACGGACUUGCUGUAUCUUCCCAAAGGCAGAAAAAAGUUCAAGGUCAAGGAGAGAAGAAAAACACUAUGAUACCAGUAUUAAGAAAGAGGGUCUGUGCUGAAAGUCUCUGAAAGGAAGGCUGGAUCUCAGAGCCGCUGACAGACACCUGUGUGAAACCAGAUAAAAAACCAAAGUCGGUAAAAUAAUCUUCAAUCCCGACGAUGCCUUUGAAAGAGACCAGACAACCUUGGAUGUGUUUGCUAAAGGUCUUAGGACUCAGGCUGUCAUCAGAAAUGGUGCGGUUGGGGUCAGACGGGCCAGGCUGAUGAGUGAUGAGAAAAAUCAAGCGUCGAAUACCUUGAGGAACUUUUCAAGGAAACACAAGUGAUAAGUAGCCAAUCUGGGAUUUGAGUUACCUGACUAGAAACCUAUGCUUUUCCCACUACAUCCACUUUUAAAAAGCUUCACAAACUUGAAAAGUGCUCUUCAUUUAUACGAGCAAUAUUUUUGUCUUGCUUAAGACUUCCUGCCCAUUAAUCUAUGAUAAAGAAGAAAAGAAUAUAUAAUAGGAAAAAGAGUCUCUUCAAUAAAUGGUGUUGGGAAAACUGGACAGCUACAUGCAAAAGAAUGAAAUUGGACCCAUAUCUUACACUAUCUACAAAAACAA